GACCUCAGCUCCGGGAAGGCUCGUCUCCGGAGGCAAGUGCUCCGUGAUGCUCGCGCGCGUGUUGCGGGCGGCUUCCCACGGGGGCUCGCGCGGACCGGGCUGCCCGCCCUAGGCUGGAGAGAGACAGUCGGGGAGUGCAAGCGCGGGCGGUCGAAGGCUGGAGCCGUCCCCGGCUGCUGAGGCUGGCCCUGACGCCGAGAGGUGCCCCUACCUGGGCGGGGCGAGGUUUUACGCGGCGUUCUCACUCCGGGGUCCCGUGGCCUCGAACACCUUGGUGAAGGUGUCUUUCUGAGACUUUCGGGCGGUACAGAGGAGUUUGUGGGGCCCGGUUGCAGUUUUCCAAACCAAACAGGGCUGGUUUGUUUUACUUUUUCUUCCCUCCCCUCCCGCCCCCCGAAACAGGGCUUCUUUGUGUAGCUAACUUUGUCCAGGAACUGCCUCUUCUGGCCUCGAACUCGGAGAUCCGCCUGCCUCCGCUGCCUGAAUGCUGGGACUAAAGGCAUGCUCCACCACUGCCGGGCUGACAGGGUUGUUUAUAUCCGGAGGUACUGUCUUAGUUUUUUUGAAGCAAGAGUCCCGGCUGACCUCGAACUCGGGGGUCUCCCGAGUUUCCAGGUUAUGAAAGACUCUGGGGCAUUUCAGCAUUACUGCCCCCUACCGGCCUGGGCACCCAGAGAUCUCGCAUCUGUACCAGAUUGGCGAUUCAGUGUACGUUCGGAGACAUCGGUCCCAAAGCCUCGAAGCUCGCUGGAAGGGACCCUACACCGUGCUCCUUACGACACCCACUGCCCUCAAGGUGGACGGUAUCGCAGCCUGGAUCCACGCGUCUCACGUUAAGCCGGCAACUCCGCAGGACAACCCAGGACCCUCCCAAUGGAAGAAGCUUCAGCACAUCCCAAAUCCUCUAAAGCUAAGACUUGUCAGAUCAGCCUGAUCCUGCCAGUUUUGCUGGCCUUUACUCUGAUGCCCCUGCCCACCUAUAGUAACCCCCAUGCACCCCAAAAACUGACUUGGCAGGUUUCCUCACAAACUGGGGAAAUCAUUUGGGCCACCUCCAAACUAGUCCCUCCAGGUACAUGGUGGCCUACCCUUUCCCCUGAUUUCUGUCAGUUAGCGGCUGGAUUAGACUCCUGGGAUAUCCCAGACUCACAGCCCCAACAGUUGUCUAUAGAUGCUGGCAAAAGAUUUUCUCCUGGGGGAAAAUUUGGAUGCGGGAGUCCAGAGGCAAGGUGCUUUUUAGGAAAACUAGAUUUCUAUGUCUGUCCCAAAGAUGGCCAGGGUCAGAGUACCGCUGGACAGUGUGGAGGUUUAGAAAGCCUCUACUGCCGUGCCUGGGGAUGUGAGACCACUGGAGAUGCUUAUUGGAGACCCAGUUCUUCUUGGGACUGGAUCACUGUUCGCAAGAGUUACACUUCCCCAGAACAGUGUUCCAGUACAAGUGCAGGAACCUGUAGCACCAGCCCCACUUGCUUACCCUUAAAUAUUACCAUUACUUCCCAGGGACGAGCGGGAGGGACGUCAGGGUGGAUACAGGGAAGGACUUGGGGCAUCCGAUGGUAUUUUCCAAAUAGAAUGAUCAAAAAGGAUUUGGGUGCUACCUUCACGAUAAAAUUAAAAAUAGAAAGUCCCCCGGGCCAGCCAGUGGGGCCCAAUCAGGUACUACCUGACCAGGGACUCCGUACCUCCUAAAGAGACCUAUAAUUUCCCAAGGCCUAUGUCUGGGGACCCCAACCCCCCAAUAUCAACAGCUAUCCAACCAAACUCCUUAGUCCCAGGACGACAGGAAACAGGUACCUGGUACCCUCCUCUAUUGAUCUAUGGAGGGCCUGCAUCACUGAUCUGACUCCUUGUAUCUCUACCUCUGUCUUUAAUGAUGCCACUGAUUUCUGUGUGCUGAUUCAACUAGUCCCCCGAAUUUACUAUCAUAAUGCUUCCACUUUUGAGGAUGAGUUUGACCUACGCCCCAGACACCAAAAAAGUGAGCUGGUCACCAUCAUCUAGUUAGGUCUGGGGCUGGGGGCGACAGGGGUGGGACUGGGAUCUACAGCUUUAGUUAGGGGAGGUCAGUACUACUCCCAAUUAAGAGCAGCUAUGGAUGAAGACUCUACAGCAGUCCAUCUCCAAGCUUGAAGAAUCGAUGACCUGGCUCUCUGAAGUGGUGUUACAAGAUAGACGCAGGUGCCAGCCUCAGGCUUUGUGCUUGGUUGAUUGGCGGUUUUGUUGGAGGCAGGAUCUCUGCAACCUCUUCUGGUCUCAAACCUUCAGUGAGCUCUUGCCUCAGCAGGGAUUGUAAGGCUGCACCACUGUGCUUCAUUUGUUUUCCUUAAAAACUGUGUGUGUAUGUGUGUUCCCCUGUAGCUCAGCCAGCAGGGUUACACUUCCAGUGGGUAGGACUUGAUAAGUCACCUAUGGUGUAAUCAUGUUGGAAGAGGUUCAGGUUUAAUGAGAGACCCUGUCUCAAAACAACACGCAGGGUUGAUGAUUUGAAUGAAAUGUCCCACAUUGUCUCAGGCAUUUAAAGUUUUGGUUCCCACUUGGCAGUGUUUGGGGAGGUUGGGGAAGUGUGGUCCUGUUGGAGAAUGGCACUGGGGGCAGGCACUGGGAGGCCCUGGGUUCCUGCUUGCAGCUCAAGUCAUGACCUUCCGGAACUAUAAAUGCAAAUAAACUAUAAUUUGACUUGGUCAUGAUGUUUUAUCACAGCAAUAAAAAAUAACCCAAAGGUAGAAGUUACCCACUUCCUUCUCUGACCGCCACAUGCAUGCGAACCUUCAGCACACACAAAGAAAAAAAUUACAAUCCUCUUGCCUUUGCCUCCUGAGUGCUCAAUUUGUAGGCAUCCACCAGCCAUGCUAAGCCUACCCCACAGAAUCUUCUGAGAACUCUGAACACACCUUCCUGACUGUGCUGGCCAGUUUUAAGAUAACUGACACAACCUAGAGCCGUUUGGAAAGAACCACAGCUGAGGAAAUGCUCCUGCCAGAUUGGCCUGUGGGCAAACCUGUGGUGCAUUUUCUUGAUUGAUGUGGGAGGGCCCACCUCACUGUUGGCACUGUGAAUGCUGGGCUCAUUGUCCUGGGUGCUAGAAGAAAAGCUAAACAAGCCAUGGGGAGCAAAUCUCCAUGGCCUCCAAAGCAGUUUCUGCUUCUAGGUUCCUCACUUGAGUUUUGCCCCGAGUUCUCUGGAUUAUGAGCUAUAAGCUGUAAAAUGAAAUAAAGCCUUUCCUCCCUAA